rnacentral:snoRNA from 10 species
ACUCUAACCACGAUGAAGAGCGCUGAUGUUCCCUUCUGAGCGCGAAGCGGGCAGCGAGUAAUGAUUAAUUUCAUCUGCUCGUUGUCAUUGAUGACCGUUCCUUGCUCCCUAGUGGAGUUUGGAGGUAGGGAGCAUGAUCAGAGUGG